UACGUAGGUGGCAAGCGUUGUUCGGAAUUAUUGGGCGUAAAGGGCGCGUAGGCGGUUUGUUAAGUCGGUCGUGAAAGCCCGGGGCUCAACCCCGGAGGGUCGACCGAUACUGGCAGACUAGAGUACAGAAGAGGUAACUGGAAUUCCCGGUGUAGCGGUGGAAUGCGUAGAGAUCGGGAAGAACAUCAGUGGCGAAGGCGGCCUGCUGGGCUGUUGCUGACGCUGAGGCGCGACAGCGUGGGGAGCAAACAGG
rnacentral:rRNA from 1 species